rnacentral:pre_miRNA from 1 species
CUUGUACUCCCUCUGUCCGAAAAUACUUGUCAUUGAAAUGGAUGUAUUUUAGUUCUAGACACAUCCAUUUUGAUGACAAGUAAUUCCGGACGGAGGGAGUACUUG